UACAGAGGGGGCAAGCGUUGUUCGGAAUUACUGGGCGUAAAGGGCGCGUAGGCGGCCUUCUAAGUCGAACGUGAAAUCCCUGGGCUCAACCCAGGAACUGCGUCCGAUACUGGAAGGCUUGAAUCCGGGAGAGGGAUGCGGAAUUCCAGGUGUAGCGGUGAAAUUCGUAGAUAUCGAGAGGAACACCGGUGGCGAAGGCGGCCAACUGGACGAAUACUGACGCUGAGACUCGAAAGCGUGGGGAGCAAACAGG
rnacentral:rRNA from 1 species